UUCAUCUGAAAAUUUGCGCUAACUUUUUGUGCGGUUUUUGGGCACGUACCUUUUGCAACGCACUUCUUCAGCAACUGGACGCUCUAUUCUAAUUUUGCUAGUUUAUAUAAUAUUUUUAUCGCAAUGAUAAAAAUACAUUUUUGAGUUGUGACACUGUUAUUACUUUAAAAACCUUUAAACUUUUGCUAAUUUUAGGACGAUCUUUCUCUGGUAGGAAAUUUGGGAUUUUCGUCUAAUUUUUGAUUUCUUGAAUCAUCGGUUAAGCUCUGAAGCUCAGAUAUUACUAAAAAAUGACAAAAUAACGGAAAUAAAACUGUUCCAAAAGUGUUGUAUUUCCGGCAAAAAGUUUUAUUAGGUCAUUAUUUCAGAUUUUACAAAUUUCAUUCGAAUAUAUGGCUCUUUUACUAUAGUAAUUAAGUUCAAUAACUUAAUGAAUUAAAUAAUUUCGCCUAUUUUAUCUUAUCGCCUUGGCCAUGUCCAGCUUUCAUUAUCUCAUUUAUUUAGAUUACGACUGUUAUUAUUAUUAUUUUUUAUUAAAAAAUGUUGCAAUGGAACAGGAAACAAUAAUUGUGGGUUUUUACGUUAUUAGCUAAUCGUCAUUUUUAAAUUAUUACAUUUAUUGGCACUUGUUGGCGCAACUGUUGAUGCAUUGGUUGGUUGAGCAUUGACUGGAGCAUCUGUUGACGCAUGAAGAACACGAUUGGGUGUUGCAGGAUUGUGGUUGAUUCUGGCAGGAGGUUUGGCAGCCUUGAACACAGUAAUUUGUGCAUUGUUUUGUGCUGCAGUCGUUGGCGCAUUGGUUAACGCACUGGUUGCAAUUUAUAUUGGAACAACACACGUUGUUGCUGCUGCAGCUGUUGCAGCUGCGACCGUCGCAAGAGUUGCAACCGCUGUUUGAGCAAAUUUGGCGCUUUUGGAUGUUGCGGAUUGUUGUUGAGAGGGAGAUUUGCAAGGUGAGGGCCAGGAAAAGGCCCACAAGUAAAAGCUUCAUCUGAAAAUUUCGUUAGUUUUUUUGAGUUAUUUCUGGGUGACGUACCGUUUGUAAUACACAGCUUAAUUAACUGGUCAUUCUAUUCUAAUUUUGCCAGUUUAUAUAAUUUUUUUAUCGCAUUGAUAAGCAUAUUUUUUUCUAAUUCUGACACCAUUAUUACUUUAUAACAACUCUUCAAUUUAUUUUUUUGUUGACUCUUUCGAUUUCGGUAUAAAUGUGAAAGAAAUUACAUCUUUGAAAUGAACUUUCUCGUUUGGCGAAGCCGAUAAAAUGAAAAGUUUUAAGAACUACAAAGGGGUUUUGAAAAAAUUGGCAAAAUUUUACUAGCUGUUUAACAUGCACAACAAUUAUAACAAACUCUUUUGAACUUUUUUAUUGUAAACUUUUAUACUUUUUUUUAAUUCAAACAAAAUUGUGCAACGUAGAAAUUACACCUAAAGCUCAAUAAAUAAUAUGACAUUUAUAAAGCAACGUGCCAACUUUCCUUCUGUAAAGGUGAUUGUUACUAUUCUGUAUUUUUGGUUGUUUUACAGAAUUAUUCUAAGAUACUUUUCGUAAAUUGCUCUUAUUGUAAUAAUUAAGUUCAAUAACACAAUGAAGAAUGUAAUUUCGACUCGUUUAUCUUAUCAAUAUGACCAAGUCCAUUUUUAAUUAUUUUAUUUUUGGUUAUUGUUAUGUAUUAUAACUUUUUGUUAAAUCAUUUGAUAUAACAGGAAAUAAAUGUGGAUCUUUCGAUUACUGCUGACUUAUUAAACCGUUUAUUGUUUAAACUGAAGUCUAAAGUAUUCUAUUCACUUUAUAAAAAAAUAAUCAGACAUUAUCAAGUUAAGUCCUUUUAGUUUUUGAGGUUUGCAAUAUUUUAUUUUAUUUUUUUUUCAAUGACAUUCUAGUAUGUAUUUUUUUUAGUUAACGAUCAUGCUCCAAAAAUUACCUACUUCAACUAUUAAUACUGUUUAGGUAAUUGCAAAUUAUUUUUUUCGGGAAAUAAAUAGUUCAGUAAAUAGUUUUUAAUAAAAUAAUAAAAAUUUAGAAGAAGGCUAAUACCAAAUUGUAUUUCUACGUUUCUCAGGGAAGUAAUAAAUAAAACUAUAAAAAAAAUAUUUAAAAAUGUUUUAAUACAGUAAUUGGCGUGACGCCUGUAUGUCCUAAGGAAGUCUUUACAGUGAAGGCAUCGUCGCUCGCUUUAGGCCAUGUUGAGGGGAAUCAUGUGAUGGAAAAUAGCAGAAGGCAGUCCAGGAUAUUAAGGAAUAUAUUUUUAGAGGAGGUCUGGAUGAGUCUAGUAGAAAAUUCAUUACCUUGUUGUAACACAUACAUAUUUUUGAAAGUUGAAGCGUCUCAAAGUAAUUUAAGUAACGUGUGUAAUGACAAUAUAUUUAUACCAUCUAAACCUUUAUUAGUUUCUAAUAAGAUAAAGCAAACUGUUAUUAAUUUUAAUUCAAAUUCUCAAGUGUUUUCAUGCUGUGAUAAAUUGGAAGUAUUUAAAGAUUCUUGCGAUGUGGAAGGUCCAGGAAAAUGUGAACGUAAUUUUAAUGAAAAAGACAAAAGUUCAGAAAAUGGAGAAACGUGGUUGCAGUCCACAAUUGUAAUUCGCGGUUUUAAAGAUUGUUUUGUAAAUAAAGUAGCGGCUUCUGAAUUAUGGUAAUCUUUUAGGGAGUAUCAAUUUUUAACUGGAAUUUUUUAUAUCUACAAUGAAUUUUAAGUAAAGAAAAUAUACCUACAUUUUUAUGAAA